AGGACGAACGCUGGCGGCGUGCCUAAUACAUGCAAGUUGAACGCAACAAAGACACCAGAGCUUGCUCUACCGUCUUUGUUGAGUAGCGAACGGGUGAGUAACGCGUGGGUAACCUGCCUUAUAGCGGGGGAUAACUAUUGGAAACGAUAGCUAAUACCGCAUAACAAUAGAGAUUGCAUAAUCUUUAUUUGAAAGUGCCAACUGGUACACUAUGAGAUGGACCCGCGUUGUAUUAGCUAGUUGGUAGUGUAAUGGACUACCAAGGCGAUGAUACAUAGCCGACCUGAGAGGGUGAUCGGCCACAUUGGGACUGAGACACGGCCCAAACUCCUACGGGAGGCAGCAGUAGGGAAUCUUCGGCAAUGGACGAAAGUCUGACCGAGCAACGCCGCGUGAGUGAAGGAGGUUUUCGGAUCGUAAAACUCUGUUGUUAGGGAAGAAUGUUGAUUAGAGUGGAAAAUUAAUCAAGUGACGGUAUCUAACCAGAAAGGGACGGCUAACUACGUG
rnacentral:rRNA from 1 species